UCAGGCGUGAUUACCCGCUGAACUUAAGCAUAU
rnacentral:rRNA from 1 species